CAGUCGCCGCGGUAAUACGUAGGUCCCGAGCGUUGUCCGGAUUUAUUGGGCGUAAAGCGAGCGCAGGCGGUUAGAUAAGUCUGAAGUUAAAGGCUGUGGCUUAACCAUAGUACGCUUUGGAAACUGUUUAACUCGAGUGCAAGAGGGGAGAGUGGAAUUCCAUGUGUAGCGGUGAAAUGCGUAGAUAUAUGGAGGAACACCGGUGGCGAAAGCGGCUCUCUGGCUUGUAACUGACGCUGAGGCUCGAAAGCGUGGGGAGCAAACAGGAUUAGAUACCCCCGUAGUCCCUGUCUCUUAUACA
rnacentral:rRNA from 1 species